AUGGUUCCCUGCUGGUUCUUGGUGGCCAUGCUGGCCCCUACGGCAUGGGCCAUUCAGCAAUCCCCAGACGCAGUUGUCCGAGCGGGAGACUCUCUGACUCUGAACUGUUCCCAAGAGAGGACUUCAUACCCCAACAUGUACUGGUACAAGCUGCCUGUGGAGAAUGAUGCGAGGCUGCAGCUUGUUAUACACUCAGUGGAAGGUGGCAAGGCAGAUAUUGAUGGGGAAUUCAGAAACCACUUCCAGAGCAGUGGAACUAAAGGCAGCCGCUUAUCUAUGGAGAUAGAUCAUGCCCUAGUCAAUGACUCAGGCACAUAUUUCUGCGCUAAGCAAGAUGGUGUAAAUUCACCACUGAGCUUUGGACAGGGCACCCGGCUGACAGUACUAGGGGAGAAUGAUGAAAUCAUACCACCAGCUGUGGCCAUUUUUUCCCCAUCAAAGCAAGAGAUCCAACAGAAGAGCAAGGCCACACUAGUAUGCCUUGCCUCUGGUUUCUAUCCUGACUACCUCAAUCUAGUCUGGAAGGUGAAUGGUGCUCAGAGAACAGAAGGGGUGGGGACAGAUGAGUCUUCCACGUGGAAUGGGAGUACAUACUCAUUGACCAGCCGACUGAGGAUCUCAGCCCAGGAAUGGUUCAACCCUUUGAAUCGUUUUGAGUGUGUUGCAACAUUCUUUAACAAUGAGACACUGGAAUCCAUACACAAAUUCAUCUCUGGCGAUGUGGGUUGUAUUAUACACAAAGAAAACUAUCAGAGAAGUGUUAUAGCUGGGAAGAUUGUGUACAUCAUGCUCAUUUUCAAGAGCAUUUUGUAUGGAAUGUUUGUGAUUGGGCUGAUACUCAGGUCCAAGAAAAUGUACUAGACACGCUUUGCCCUGAAAGAUCAGGCCUGAAGAAGAGGACAGAGAUAUGCUGCAAGUGGAAAGCUUCAAAUCUUUGAACACAAGUCCUGACUUGCUUCAGAAACCAGCCUUUUUUUCUGACCAAUGUGGGAAACCACAUUUGCUUGUUUUUAAAAUUACUUCUUAAUAAAAUU